GAGGGCGUAGCUUAGUGGUAGAGCACGUGCUUUGCAUGCACAAGGUCCUGGGUUCAAUCCCCAGUGCCUCUA
rfam:Camelus ferus unplaced genomic scaffold scaffold1144, whole genome shotgun sequence.